UACGGAGGGGACAAGCGUUGUCCGGAUUUACUGGGCGUAAAGAGCGCGCAGGCGGUCGUUCAAGUCGAGUGUGAAAGCCCCCGGCUCAACUGGGGAGGGUCAUUCGAUACUGAUCGACUCGAAGGCAGGAGAGGGUAGUGGAAUUCCCGGUGUAGUGGUGAAAUGCGUAGAUAUCGGGAGGAACACCAGUGGCGAAGGCGACUACCUGGCCUGUUCUUGACGCUGAGGCGCGAAAGCUAGGGGAGCAAACGGG
rnacentral:rRNA from 1 species